rnacentral:rRNA from 1 species
UACGGAGGGUGCAAGCGUUAUCCGGAUUCACUGGGUUUAAAGGGCGCGCAGGCGGAUUAGUAAGUCAGUGGUGAAAGCCUUAAGCUUAACUUGGGAACUGCCAUUGAUACUAUUAGUCUUGAAUGUUGUUGAGGUUUGCGGAAUGGGUCAUGUAGCGGUGAAAUGCAUAGAUAUGACCCGGAACACCUAUUGCGAAGGCAGCAGGCUAAACAAAUAUUGACGCUGAGGCUCGAAAGCGUGGGGAGCAAACAGG